UCAAGUAAUGAAGUGCACAUGGUGGAUGCCUUGGCAGUCAGAGGCGAUGAAAGACGUGAUAGCCUGCGAUAAGCGUCGGUGAGGUGGCAAUAUCCUGUGACCCGGCGAUUUCUGAAUGGGGAAACCCAGCCAACAUAAGUUGGCUAUCCUAACCUUUGGUUAGGAGGCAAACCGGGAGAAGUGAAACAUCUCAGUACCCCGAGGAAAAGACAUCAAUAGAGAUUCCCCAAGUAGCGGCGAGCGAACGGGGAGGAGCCGAUCAAACUUGUAGUAGCAAAAUGGCGUGGGAAAGCCAACCAUAGUAGGUGAUAGUCCUGUAUGCGAAACUGCAAAUGCGACAUAUUAAGUAGGGCGAGACACGUGAAAUCUUGUCUGAAGAUGGGGGGACCAUCCUCCAAGGCUAAAUACUCCUGACUGACCGAUAGUGAACCAGUACCGUGAGGGAAAGGCGAAAAGAACCCCUGUUAGGGGAGUGAAAUAGAACCUGAAACCGUGUGCAUACAAGCAGUCGGAGCCCACUUGUUGGGUGACGGCGUACCUUUUGUAUAAUGGGUCAGCGACUUAUAUUCUGUAGCAAGGUUAACCGUUUAGGGGAGCCGUAGGGAAACCGAGUCUUAAUAGGGCGAUUAAGUUGCAGGGUAUAGACCCGAAACCGAGUGAUCUAUCCAUGAGCAGGUUGAAAGUGCCGUAACAGGCACCGGAGGACCGAACCCACUGUCGUUGAAAAGCCAGGGGAUGACUUGUGGAUAGGGGUGAAAGGCUAAUCAAACUCGGUGAUAGCUGGUUCUCCCCGAAAGCUAUUUAGGUAGCGCCUCGGACGAACACCAUUGGGGGUAGAGCACUGUUUCGGCUAGGGGGUCAUCCCGACUUACCAAACCGAUGCAAACUCCGAAUACCGAUGAGUGAUAUCCGGGAGACAGACGGCGGGUGCUAACGUCCGUCGUCAAGAGGGAAACAACCCAGACCGCCAGCUAAGGCCCCAAAUUCCUAGUUAAGUGGGAAACGAUGUGGGAAGGCACAGACAGCUAGGAGGUUGGCUUAGAAGCAGCCACCCUUUAAAGAAAGCGUAAUAGCUCACUAGUCGAGUCGGCCUGCGCGGAAGAUGUAACGGGGCUCAAACUAGGAGCCGAAGCUGCGGAUUUAAUUGUUUCAAUUAAGUGGUAGGGGAGCGUUGUGUAAGCCUGUGAAGGUGUGUUGUAAAGCAUGCUGGAGGUAUCACAAGAGCGAAUGCUGACGUGAGUAACGACAAAACGGGUGAAAAGCCCGUUCGCCGGAAGACCAAGGGUUCCAGUCCAACGUUAAUCGGGGCUGGGUGAGUCGACCCCUAAGGCGAGGCCGAAAGGCGUAGUCGAUGGGAAAUCGGUUAAUAUUCCGAUACUUGUUUAUGAUGCGAUGGAGGGACGGAGAAGGUUAUGUCAGCCUGGCGUUGGUUGUCCAGGUGAAAGGAUGUAGGUAGGUUUAGUAGGCAAAUCCGCUAGACUAUUACUGAGAUCUGAUAGCAAGCCAGUUUACUGGCAAAGUGGCAAAUACCCUGCUUCCAGGAAAAGCUUCUAAGCGAUAGUCAUAAAGAAAUCGUACCCGAAACCGACACAGGUGGUCAGGUAGAGAAUACCAAGGCGCUUGAGAGAACUCUGCUGAAGGAACUAGGCAAAAUGGUACCGUAACUUCGGGAGAAGGUACGCUGCCGAUGGUGAUAAGACUUGCUCUUUGAGCUGUUGGCAGUCGCAGAUACCAGGCUGCUGCAACUGUUUAUUAAAAACACAGCACUCUGCAAACACGAAAGUGGACGUAUAGGGUGUGAUGCCUGCCCGGUGCUGGAAGGUUAAUUGAUGGGGUUAGCGUAUGCGAAGCUCUUGAUCGAAGCCCCAGUAAACGGCGGCCGUAACUAUAACGGUCCUAAGGUAGCGAAAUUCCUUGUCGGGUAAGUUCCGACCUGCACGAAUGGCAUAAUGAUGGCAGCGCUGUCUCCAGCAGAGACUCAGUGAAAUCGAAAUCGCAGUGAAGAUGCUGUGUACCCGCGGCUAGACGGAAAGACCCCGUGAACCUUUACUACAGCUUUACAUUGAACUUUGACCUAACUUGUGUAGGAUAGGUGGGAGGCUUUGAAGUAGGGACGCCAGUUCCUAUGGAGCCAUCCUUGAAAUACCACCCUGGUUAUGUUGGGGUUCUAACUUAGAUGUAACAACAUCAAGGACAAUGUAUGGUGGGUAGUUUGACUGGGGCGGUCUCCUCCUAAAGAGUAACGGAGGAGUACGAAGGUGCGCUCAGAACGGUCGGAAAUCGUUCAAAGAGUAUAAAGGCAAAAGCGCGCUUAACUGCGAGACCCACAAGUCGAGCAGGUACGAAAGUAGGUCUUAGUGAUCCGGUGGUUCUGUAUGGAAGGGCCAUCGCUCAACGGAUAAAAGGUACUCUGGGGAUAACAGGCUGAUACCGCCCAAGAGUUCAUAUCGACGGCGGUGUUUGGCACCUCGAUGUCGGCUCAUCUCAUCCUGGGGCUGAAGCAGGUCCCAAGGGUAUGGCUGUUCGCCAUUUAAAGAGGUACGCGAGCUGGGUUUAGAACGUCGUGAGACAGUUCGGUCCCUAUCUACCGUGGGCGUUGGAAAUUUGAGAGGAUCUGCUCCUAGUACGAGAGGACCAGAGUGGACGAACCUCUGGUGUUCCGGUUGUUUCGCCAGAAGCACUGCCGGGUAGCUAUGUUCGGAUGGGAUAACCGCUGAAAGCAUCUAAGCGGGAAGCCCACCUCAAGAUUAGAUUUCCCUAAAGAGCCGUUGUAGACUACGACGUUGAUAGGUUGGGUGUGGAAGCAUGGCGACAUGUGUAGCUAACCAAUACUAAUUGCUCGUUUGGCUUGACCAU
rnacentral:rRNA from 1 species